GACGAACGCUGGCGGCGUGCUUAACACAUGCAAGUCGAACGGUAAGGCCCUUCGGGGUACACGAGUGGCGAACGGGUGAGUAACACGUGGGUGAUCUACCCUGCACUUCGGGAUAAGCCUGGGAAACUGGGCCUAAUACCGGAUAGGACUCCUGGCUUCAUGGGUGGGGGUGGAAAGCUUUUGCGGUGUGGGAUGGGCCCGCGGCCUAUCAGCUUGUUGGGGGGGUAAUGGCCUACCAAGGCGACGACGGGUAGCCGGCCUGAGAGGGUGACCGGUCACACUGGGACUGAGAUACGGCCCAGACUCCUACGGGAGGCAGCAGUGGGGAAUAUUGCACAAUGGGCGCAAGCCUGAUGCAGCGACGCCGCGUGAGGGAUGACGGCCUUCGGGUUGUAAACCUCUUUCAGCUAUGACGAAGCGCAAGUGACGGUAGUAGCAGAAGAAGGACCGGCCAACUACGUGCCAGCCGCCGCCGUAA
rnacentral:rRNA from 1 species